UGCCCAGCAACUCCUAUCCCUACCUCCUCGCGGUACUGACCAGGGUACGAGUAACCUCAGGGAAGACCAGAUAACCAACCCCGGUGGGAACCGUGCUAACAGGGAAGG
rnacentral:ribozyme from 1 species